rnacentral:rRNA from 1 species
GGUUAAGCGACUAAGCGUACACGGUGGAUGCCCUGGCAGUCAGAGGCGAUGAAGGACGUGCUAAUCUGCGAUAAGCGUCGGUAAGGUGAUAUGAACCGUUAUAACCGGCGAUUUCCGAAUGGGGAAACCCAGUGUGUUUCGACACACUAUCAUUAACUGAAUCCAUAGGUUAAUGAGGGCGAACCGGGGGAACUGAAACAUCUAAGUACCCCGAGGAAAAGAAAUCAACCGAGAUUCCCCCAGUAGCGGCGAGCGAACGGGGAGGAGCCCAGAGCCUGAAUCAGUAUGUGUGUUAGUGGAAGCGUCUGGAAAGGCGCGCGAUACAGGGUGACAGCCCCGUACACAAAAAUGCACAUAUUGUGAGCUCGAUGAGUAGGGCGGGACACGUGGUAUCCUGUCUGAAUAUGGGGGGACCAUCCUCCAAGGCUAAAUACUCCUGACUGACCGAUAGUGAACCAGUACCGUGAGGGAAAGGCGAAAAGAACCCCGGCGAGGGGAGUGAAAAAGAACCUGAAACCGUGUACGUACAAGCAGUGGGAGCACGCUUAGGCGUGUGACUGCGUACCUUUUGUAUAAUGGGUCAGCGACUUAUAUUCUGUAGCAAGGUUAACCGAAUAGGGGAGCCGAAGGGAAACCGAGUCUUAACUGGGCGUUAAGUUGCAGGGUAUAGACCCGAAACCCGGUGAUCUAGCCAUGGGCAGGUUGAAGGUUGGGUAACACUAACUGGAGGACCGAACCGACUAAUGUUGAAAAAUUAGCGGAUGACUUGUGGCUGGGGGUGAAAGGCCAAUCAAACCGGGAGAUAGCUGGUUCUCCCCGAAAGCUAUUUAGGUAGCGCCUCGUGAAUUCAUCUCCGGGGGUAGAGCACUGUUUCGGCAAGGGGGUCAUCCCGACUUACCAACCCGAUGCAAACUGCGAAUACCGGAGAAUGUUAUCACGGGAGACACACGGCGGGUGCUAACGUCCGUCGUGAAGAGGGAAACAACCCAGACCGCCAGCUAAGGUCCCAAAGUCAUGGUUAAGUGGGAAACGAUGUGGGAAGGCCCAGACAGCCAGGAUGUUGGCUUAGAAGCAGCCAUCAUUUAAAGAAAGCGUAAUAGCUCACUGGUCGAGUCGGCCUGCGCGGAAGAUGUAACGGGGCUAAACCAUGCACCGAAGCUGCGGCAGCGACGCUUAUGCGUUGUUGGGUAGGGGAGCGUUCUGUAAGCCUGCGAAGGUGUGCUGUGAGGCAUGCUGGAGGUAUCAGAAGUGCGAAUGCUGACAUAAGUAACGAUAAAGCGGGUGAAAAGCCCGCUCGCCGGAAGACCAAGGGUUCCUGUCCAACGUUAAUCGGGGCAGGGUGAGUCGACCCCUAAGGCGAGGCCGAAAGGCGUAGUCGAUGGGAAACAGGUUAAUAUUCCUGUACUUGGUGUUACUGCGAAGGGGGGACGGAGAAGGCUAUGUUGGCCGGGCGACGGUUGUCCCGGUUUAAGCGUGUAGGCUGGUUUUCCAGGCAAAUCCGGAAAAUCAAGGCUGAGGCGUGAUGACGAGGCACUACGGUGCUGAAGCAACAAAUGCCCUGCUUCCAGGAAAAGCCUCUAAGCAUCAGGUAACAUCAAAUCGUACCCCAAACCGACACAGGUGGUCAGGUAGAGAAUACCAAGGCGCUUGAGAGAACUCGGGUGAAGGAACUAGGCAAAAUGGUGCCGUAACUUCGGGAGAAGGCACGCUGAUAUGUAGGUGAGGUCCCUCGCGGAUGGAGCUGAAAUCAGUCGAAGAUACCAGCUGGCUGCAACUGUUUAUUAAAAACACAGCACUGUGCAAACACGAAAGUGGACGUAUACGGUGUGACGCCUGCCCGGUGCCGGAAGGUUAAUUGAUGGGGUCAGCGCAAGCGAAGCUCUUGAUCGAAGCCCCGGUAAACGGCGGCCGUAACUAUAACGGUCCUAAGGUAGCGAAAUUCCUUGUCGGGUAAGUUCCGACCUGCACGAAUGGCGUAAUGAUGGCCAGGCUGUCUCCACCCGAGACUCAGUGAAAUUGAACUCGCUGUGAAGAUGCAGUGUACCCGCGGCAAGACGGAAAGACCCCGUGAACCUUUACUAUAGCUUGACACUGAACAUUGAGCCUUGAUGUGUAGGAUAGGUGGGAGGCUUUGAAGUGUGGACGCCAGUCUGCAUGGAGCCGACCUUGAAAUACCACCCUUUAAUGUUUGAUGUUCUAACGUUGACCCGUAAUCCGGGUUGCGGACAGUGUCUGGUGGGUAGUUUGACUGGGGCGGUCUCCUCCUAAAGAGUAACGGAGGAGCACGAAGGUUGGCUAAUCCUGGUCGGACAUCAGGAGGUUAGUGCAAUGGCAUAAGCCAGCUUGACUGCGAGCGUGACGGCGCGAGCAGGUGCGAAAGCAGGUCAUAGUGAUCCGGUGGUUCUGAAUGGAAGGGCCAUCGCUCAACGGAUAAAAGGUACUCCGGGGAUAACAGGCUGAUACCGCCCAAGAGUUCAUAUCGACGGCGGUGUUUGGCACCUCGAUGUCGGCUCAUCACAUCCUGGGGCUGAAGUAGGUCCCAAGGGUAUGGCUGUUCGCCAUUUAAAGUGGUACGCGAGCUGGGUUUAGAACGUCGUGAGACAGUUCGGUCCCUAUCUGCCGUGGGCGCUGGAGAACUGAGGGGGGCUGCUCCUAGUACGAGAGGACCGGAGUGGACGCAUCACUGGUGUUCGGGUUGUCAUGCCAAUGGCACUGCCCGGUAGCUAAAUGCGGAAGAGAUAAGUGCUGAAAGCAUCUAAGCACGAAACUUGCCCCGAGAUGAGUUCUCCCUGACCCUUUAAGGGUCCUGAAGGAACGUUGAAGACGACGACGUUGAUAGGCCGGGUGUGUAAGCGCAGCGAUGCGUUGAGCUAACCGGUACUAAUGAACCGUGAGGCUUAACCUU